AGGGAAUCUUCCACAAUGGACGCAAGUCUGAUGGAGCAACGCCGCGUGAGUGAAGAAGGUUUUCGGACCGUAAAGCUCUGUUGUUGGUGAAGAAGGAUAGAGGUAGUAACUGGCCUUUAUUUGACGGUAAUCAACCAGAAAGUCACGGCUAACUACGUGCCAGCAGCCGCGGUAAUACGUAGGUGGCAAGCGUUGUCCGGAUUUAUUGGGCGUAAAGCGAGCGCAGGCGGAAGAAUAAGUCUGAUGUGAAAGCCCUCGGCUUAACCGAGGAAUUGCAUCGGAAACUGUUUUCUUGAGUGCAGAAGAGGAGAGUAGAACUCCAUGUGUAGCGGUGGAAUGCGUAGAUAUAUGGAAGAAUACCAGUGGCGAAGGCGGCUCUCUGGCCUGCAACUGACGCUGAGGCUCGAAAGCAUGGGUAGCGAACAGGAUUAGAUACCCUGGUAGUCCAUGCCGUAAACGAUGAGUGCUAAGUGUUGGGAGGCUUCCGCCUCUCAGUGCUGCAGCUAACGCAUUAAGCACUCCGCCUGGGGGAGUACGACCGCAAGGUUGAAAC
rnacentral:rRNA from 1 species